CUGGGUUUCAUUGUGAGUCUCAGGACAGCUCAGGCUACAAAGCAAGACCCUAUUUCAAAAAUAAUACUGGGGAAUGAAUGGAACUCAGAGCUUCUCCUGCACUGGGCAACAAAACCAGAAAUGAGAAGCCUCAGUGAGAUUCCCCAUUUUACAGUGAGAAACAAGCACGGUGUGUGCACUCUGUACAUCGGAAACCAGAGCCUGAAGUUGAACUUGGGUCCUUUCCAGCAUCACAAGACACAGAAGUCCUGGGGCAGCAGGGACACUUUUGACACCUCCCACCUGUAUGUCCACCUCAGGCUGUGCCCUCCAUGCCUUUCCUGCCCCAGACUCCAGGAACUUGCCCAACUCUCUGCCACAUUCCUGGCAUGGCUGUUGCAGAACUUCCGGUGGCCUUGUAAGAACAGGAUCACUCUUUGGCCACCUGGCCCUUGGAAUUCCAACAUUGCUCUGUGAAAGCUGGGGAGACUGACACCUACAGAACAAAGCUACCUGAUACUAAGGGGCUGGCCUCAAAUCCACUAUGCAGCCAGGGAUGACUGAACCUCUGACCUCCAGCCCCAGCUCCUGAGUGCUGUUUUAUGAGGUAUGAGGAAUCAAACCCAGGACUUCUUCAUGCAUGUCUCAGAUAGCCUGGGCUGGAGUCAAAGGAUGACCUUGAAGUCCUGAUAGUCCUGACAACCCCUGCUGAGUGUUGGGAUUACAAGUGUGCACCACUGUGUCUGGUUUAUGUGGUGCUGGAGAAGGGACCCAGGGCUGUGUGUGUGCUGGGCAAAUGCUCUACCAACUGAGCUUCAGCCCACAUCAAUACUUCCACAAUAACAAUGAAGAGAAGUAGCUAAUCCACAUCAGUAGAGAGACGAAAAGAAAACAACUCAAACAGGGCCAAGAGAAGAGAAAAGACAGAACCAGUAGGAACAGAAAGAGCCCCAAGCAGCCUCAAGCCAGAGAAACCCUGUCUCUCUGGCUCUCCACAUGUGAGACAGGGCCUUUCACUGAACCUGAAACUCAGAAAUUGGUUAGACCAGCUUGCUAGUAAGAUACAGAGAUCAUUGUGUCUCUGCCUUUCUUCCCAGCACUGGGGUUGCAAGCACCCUUUGCAGGCCUGGUUUCACAAAGGUACUGGGAUCCAAACUCUGAUCCUGUUGCUCAAGCAACAAGCACUUUAUUCACUAAGCCAUCUUCCCUGGCCAUCACCUCAAUUUAAAUAAAACAAAACAAAUAACAGAAACGACAAAACAAAACAAAACCCCUAAACCUGCAAGGGGCUGGAGAAACACCUCAGCAGUUAAGAGCACUAACUACCCUGGGGCCCAGGCUCAAUCCCCAGCACCUGAAUGGCAGCUCAUAACCAUCUACUCCAUUCCAGCAGAUCUGACACCUCUGGCCUCUUUGGGUACCAGGCAUGCUCCUACCAGGAACCCUGUCCAAAGAAGACAGAUGGGGGCUGGAGAGAUGGCUCAGAGGUUAAGAGCACAGGCUGCUCUUCCAGAAGUCCUGAGUUCAAUUCCCAGCAACCACAUGGUGGCUCACAACCAUCUGUAAUGAGAUCUGGUGUCCUCUCCUGGCGUGCAGACAGACAUGGAGGCUGUAUUCAUAAAAAAAAUAAACAAAUCUUUUUAAAAAAGAAGACGACAGAUGGGGCACAACCAUUCCACCUGAUUGUGGUAAUGCUAACUACUGGGCGAAACUGCCCCAUGCCUUGCCUGCUGCCAGGGCCCUGCACAAACUGUGGACACUGUUGGGUUGACUGCUCUAAUCUGCCUUGCCAAAAUAAGGUGAGUCCCUCAAGUUCCUCCUCCACAGAAAAAUCUCUCAGACCUGGGUCUGGUAGCCUGAGGCCAAAGCUGUCCUGUGUGGUAGCUGAAGACCUACAAUCGGGGCCCCCAGUGAAGCCAUUGAGACCAUGGGAGCCUAGGGCACCUGUCUAGGUAGUGGGUAAGUCUCUGUCACUUUAAUUGACACAUAGGCC
rnacentral:lncRNA from 1 species